GAUGAACGCUGGCGGCGUGCUUAACACAUGCAAGUCGAACGAAGCACUUACGACAGAACUUUUCGGAGGGAAGAUGUUUGUGACUGAGUGGCGGACGGGUGAGUAACGCGUGGGUAACCUGCCUUGCAGAGGGGGACAACAGUUGGAAACGACUGCUAAUACCGCAUAAUAGAUCAAGACCGCAUGAUCAUGAUCUUAAAGAUUUAUCGCUGCAAGAUGGACCCGCGUCUGAUUAGCUAGUUGGUGGGGUAACGGCCUACCAAGGCAACGAUCAGUAGCCGGCUUGAGAGAGUGAACGGCCACAUUGGGACUGAGACACGGCCCAGACUCCUACGGGAGGCAGCAGUGGGGAAUAUUGCACAAUGGGGGAAACCCUGAUGCAGCGACGCCGCGUGAGUGAAGAAGUAUUUCGGUAUGUAAAGCUCUAUCAGCAGG
rnacentral:rRNA from 1 species